rnacentral:rRNA from 1 species
AACGAACGCUGGCGGCAGGCCUAACACAUGCAAGUCGAACGCUGUAGCAAUACAGAGUGGCAGACGGGUGAGUAACGCGUGGGAACCUUCCCAAUGGUGCGGAAUAGCUCAGGGAAACUUGAGGUAAUACCGCAUAAGCCCUUAGGGGGAAAGAUUUAUCGCCAUUGGAUGGGCCCGCGUCGGAUCAGCUAGUUGGUGAGGUAAUGGCUCACCAAGGCAACGAUCCGUAGCUGGUUUGAGAGAAUGACCAGCCACACUGGGACUGAGACACGGCCCAGACUCCUACGGGAGGCAGCAGUGGGGAAUCUUGGACAAUGGGCGCAAGCCUGAUCCAGCCAUGCCGCGUGAGUGACGAAGGCCUUAGGGUUGUAAAGCUCUUUUGCCGGGGACGAUAAUGACGGUACCCGGAGAAUAAGUCCCGGCUAACUUCGUGCCAGCCGCCGCUGUAACAC